rnacentral:rRNA from 1 species
UAUGUGAUCGUCUCUCGCAUAUCAAUAAGCGGAGGAAAAGAAACUAACAAGGAUUCCCCUAGUAACGGCGAGUGAAGCGGGAAGAGCUCAAAUUUGAAAUCUUAAAGGGUUUCCCUUUACGAAUUGUAGUUUAAAGAAGUGUUUUCUGUUGAGGUUUUGGUAAAAGUUCUUUGGAAUAGGACAUCAUAGAGGGUGAGAAUCCCGUAUUUGACCUUUACUUUCAACUUUGUGAUACACUUUCAAAGAGUCGGAUUGUUUGGGAAUGCAGUCCAAAAUGGGUGGUAAAUUUCAUCUAAAGCUAAAUAUUGGCGAGAGACCGAUAGCGAACAAGUACCGUGAGGGAAAGAUGAAAAGAACUUUGAAAAGAGAGUUAAACAGUACGUGAAAUUGUCAAAAGGGAAGCGUUUGACACCAGUGUUGUUUUUCUGAAAACCGAUUAAAGAACUGUUUAUGCUAAGUUGUUUAGACUUUAUCAGCUAACUGUUUAGUUUUGAGCUUUUCUUUAAUGCACUUUUCAGUUAACAAGUCAACAUCAAUUUCUUUUGCUGUAAAAAAGCUUGAGGAAGGUGGCUUGAGAUUCGUCUUAAUGUGUUUAUAGCCUCUUGCCUAUGCAGUCGGAGAGAUUGAGGUCUGCAGCGUAGAUCCUUCGGGGCUAAAUGCAUUUGUGCUAAGUUAUAGCAUUUUAUAGACAACUUGUUGACUAUGAUUUGUCUUGUAGCUUACUCGCUUAUGUUAUUUUACCUACGCUUAGGAUGUUGAUCUGUAGUGCGUGCGC